GGGGAAUCUUCCGCAAUGGACGAAAGUCUGACGGAGCAACGCCGCGUGUAUGAAGAAGGCCUUCGGGUUGUAAAGUACUGUUGUUGGGGAAGAACGGCAUAUGUGUAAACAAUGCAUAUGAAUGACGGUACCCAACGAGGAAGCCCCGGCUAACUACGUGCCAGCAGCCGCGGUAAUACGUAGGGGGCGAGCGUUGUCCGGAAUUAUUGGGCGUAAAGGGCGCGUAGGCGGUUACUUAAGUCGGAUGGGAAAGUGCGGGGCUUAACUCCGUAAAGCAUUGGAAACUGGGCAACUUGAGGACAGGAGAGGAAAGUGGAAUUCCACGUGUAGCGGUGAAAUGCGUAGAUAUGUGGAGGAACACCAGUGGCGAAGGCGACUUUCUGGACUGUAACUGACGCUGAGGCGCGAAAGCGUGGGGAUCAAAC
rnacentral:rRNA from 1 species